UAUUACAAAUAGUACUUGUUUUAUAUAGAAUUUAUUUUGUCAUUAAUUGGUAGUUUGUUAUUAAUU
rnacentral:rRNA from 1 species